rnacentral:misc_RNA from 1 species
GGAAAUAAAAGUCGUAACAAGGUUUCCGUAGGUGAACCUGCGGAAGGAUCAUUAUUGUAUAACCGAGGUGCGAGGGCUGUCGCUGACCCGAAAGGUCGUGCACGCCCGAGUGCCCUCACACACAUCCAUCUCACCCCUAUGUGCACCACCGCGUGGGUCCCCCUUUGGCUUGUUCGGAGGGGGACUUACGUUUUCACGCAAACUUUGUAUGCAGUGUAGAAUGUAUUUUUUGUUUUUGCGAUCACGCAAUCAAUACAACUUUCAACAACGGAUCUCUUGGCUCUC